rnacentral:rRNA from 1 species
AGUCUGGUGCCAGCACCCGCGGUAAUUCCAGCUCCACUAGCGUAUAUUAAAGUUGUUGCAGUUAAAAAGCUCGUAGUUGAACCUCUGUCUGGGGCUAGUUUUGGCUUUGGUCAGGCUAGUUCUAGGCAUCCGCCUACAAGACUUAGAGGGCAUUCAGUUGUUCACUAGGAGGAGUAGGCAUUUUACUUUGAAAAAAUUAGAGUGUUUAAGGCAGGCAAUCGCCCGCAUAUAUUAGCAUGGAAUAAUAGAAUAGGACACUUUUCCAUUUCGUUGGUUAUUGGAAUCGUGUAAUGAUUAAUAGGGACAGUUGUGGGCAUUUGUAUUUAAUUGUCAGAGGUGAAAUUCUUGGAUUUAUUAAAGACAAACUAACGCGAAAGCAUUUGCCAAGGAUGUUUUCAUUAAUCAAGAACGAAAGUUAGGGGAUCAAAGACGAUCAGAUACCGUCCUAGUCUUAACUAUAAACUAUUCCGACUCAAUGUUUGACUGGCUUAUAUAACCAGUUGAGCGUUGUAUGAGAAAUCAAAGUCUUUAGGUUCUGGGGGGAGUAUGGUUGCAAAGCUGAAACUUAAAGGAAUUGACGGAAGAGCACAACCAGGAGUGGAUUCUGCGGCUUAAUUUGACUCAACACGGGGAAACUUACCAGGUUAAAACAAUAGUGGGAUUGACAGUUUGAGAGCGCUUUCUUGAUUGGUUGGGUGGUGGUGCAUGGCCGUUCUUAGUUGGUGGAGUGAUUUGUCUGCUUAAUUGCGUUAACGAACGAGACCUUAACCUGCUUACUAGACUGGCGAUCAUCAAUCGUUAGCUCUUCUUAGGGGACUUUGGUUGUUUUAACUCCAAGGAAGUUUGAGGCAAUAACAGGUCUGUGAUGCCCUUAGAUAUCCUGGGCCGCACGCGUCAUACAAUGACUAGUUCAGAAAGUUUUCUCCUGACCCGAAAGGGGAUGGGUAAUCUUGAUAAUACUAGUCGUGUUAGGGAUCGAUCUUUGCAAUUAUAGAUCUUGAACGAGGAAUUCCUAGUAAGUGCGGUUCAUCAGACCGUACUGAUUACGUCCCUGCUCUUUGUACACACCGCCCGUCGCUUCUACCGAGUGGGUGGUCCGGUUAGAUAAUUGAACUUCGCAGGUAACUGAGAGGAAAGAUUAUCAAACCUAUCCACCUCGAGGAAGAAGAAGUCGUAACAAGG